AAAUAAUCUGUCAGUGCAAGUCCAUACUGACAUCCUUUCUGCUUUCACCGAAGUGGAACUUAGAGUGAACUAGUACCACAAGGAAUGUGUGUUCACUCCUUGUUUGCAGAGCUACUGCCCAUCCUGUGAUGCUGAGAAGCUAUAAAAUAUAUUUUCUUACUACCCCCUGGAGAUGACCACUGUCAUGUGAAGCAUUCUCAUCUUAUCCAUCCAAGUACUGUGGGCUGAAACAAGGAUGAAAUACAACAGGACCUAUGAAUAUUUAAAAAAUACAACUCCCUAGAUGGGAGAAAAUACUCAGAUAAGUCAUGUACUUGUGUGACCUGCGUGGGCCCUAGUUAACACCCUCAUUGCCAGCAAGAGAACAACUAUGCUGAACCAAGCUCCAGCCAACCAACGUGAUGAAGGACACGAUAACAGUCAAUCAAAUGUUGCUUGCUCAUGGGAGAAUUUUAUAUUCAAUCUUCAUCUUAACAGUAACUAAAUCAAUAACCUGUUUAGCUCCUCUAGCAAAUGGAGAUCAGCACCAAUCACAGUUAUCAGUGAUAACUGAUUCAUAUCUUUCUUAUAUACCCUGUCAUCAACUGCUGUUAAGUUGUAAUGACUGUGCAAGUCCUGUUUUAGCAUUAUGACCAAGAAUUGCAAAUGUGACUGCUAAUUUUCAAUACUUAACCUGAAAUACUUGAAUGAGACUUUAUAUUUAGUGUUAUCUGAAAAUCAGGUACAUUAACUCAGAGUAUGUGUUUUGGUGUUCAUGAAUGGAGACCUUUCUUGUGAAAUUCAGAUUCAGCCACAUACUUACAGGUGU
rnacentral:lncRNA from 1 species